AUUGAACGCUGGCGGCGUGCCUAACACAUGCAAGUCGAGCGGCAGCGCGGUAGCAAUACUGGCGGCGAGCGGCGGACGGGUGAGCAAUGCUUGGGAAUCUGCCUAUCAGUGGGGGACAACCCGGGGAAACUCGGGCUAAUACCGCAUACGUUCUUCGGAAGAAAGCAGGGGAUCGCAAGACCUUGCGCUGAUAGAUGAGCCCAAGUCGGAUUAGCUAGUUGGUGAGGUAAUGGCUCACCAAGGCGACGAUCCGUAGCUGGUCUGAGAGGACGACCAGCCACACCGGAACUGAGACACGGUCCGGACUCCUACGGGAGGCAGCAGUGGGGAAUAUUGGACAAUGGGGGCAACCCUGAUCCAGCGACGCCGCGUGGGUGAAGAAGGCCUGCGGGUUGUAAAGCCCUUUCGUUGGGGAAGAACAGUGUCGACCUAACACGUCGGCACCUUGACGUUACCCAAAGAAGAAGCACCGGCUAACUCUGUGCCAGCAG
rnacentral:rRNA from 1 species